UACGUAGGGUCCGAGCGUUGUCCGGAAUUAUUGGGCGUAAAGGGCUCGUAGGCGGUUUGUCGCGUCGGGAGUGAAAACUCAGGGCUCAACUCUGAGCGUGCUUCCGAUACGGGCAGACUAGAGGUAUUCAGGGGAGAACGGAAUUCCUGGUGUAGCGGUGGAAUGCGCAGAUAUCAGGAGGAACACCGGAGUGGCGAAGGCGGUCUCUGGGACUACUGACGCUGAGGAGCGAAAGCAUGGGGAGCGAACAGGAUUAGAACCUACCGUAGU
rnacentral:rRNA from 1 species